rnacentral:tRNA from 1 species
GGGCGGGUAGCGUAGUGGUCAACGCAUUCCUAAGCGUUUCAGCGUUUGUUUUCUUCAUUACUUUCUCAGCGUUUAGCGAAAACCUGGGUUCGAAUCCCAGCCCGCCCA